CAACAGCCUCUCGUUCCAACAUCCGCACCUGGUUUCUGACGCGCGUGCAACACUGCAAGCUAGCCAAGCCAGCCCAUGGGCUUUAACCUGCCUUUUCUCUUUGUACCAUGCCUUAGCCCAAGAAUGUCUUGAUCAACCCAAAACAUAUUUAGGAAAAAGUACACCGAAGGUCCCUCAGCUUGUCAUCGAGUUACAAAAUCGUCCCCUAACUGCAAAAUCGGAUACAACGCAUCCUCCAACUUACAAAACCACUACAAACUAGGUCCCUCGGCGGUUUUGACCCCAGUUUUGUAUGACGUGGAGGCUGAGUCAGCGUGGGACCCACGUGGGCCCCACAUGUCAGAAUGCCACAUCAGCAAGGUCUCUCUCCCCUGCCACGUCAGCAAGGUCUGUCUUCCCUCUCCCUUCCUCUCUCUAAUCUCUAUCUCACUCUUCUCUCUGGGCAGGCCGUCCGGUGGUGGAGAGGAGGUCCGACGGCCGGCCGGCGAUGCUGGAGAAGGAGCGACGCGGCGCCGGCAGGCCGGGAGCAAGCAGGCGCCGCGGCGGUAGGCGCGGAGGCGGGCGCCGUGGCGGCGGUUGGCGCAGGGGCGACGGAGGAUGGAGGAGGACGGUCGGAGCGAAGCUCAACGAUGCGAGUCCUGUGACGAGUGGCCACUUGCGAUAGGGGCGACGACGCUCGGGCAUUCCCGGAUUGGCCCGGCGUGACUGCCGCUCUGAUUGAGACCAGUGGAGGCGGUUGCGCUCCGAUGUGAUUUGGUGGCGAGUAAAGACGGAGCGAGCUUUGCCUCUAUGUGGCGGGGCUAGGGUCUUCUAGCGACGAGGCGGCUUAGGGUGAGCAGCCCGCGGGCGGCAUCAUGGUUGGGACUUGGGGGCGCGGCUAGGCGAGGGAGGAGGUUGUUGUCGAGCUUGUAUGCUGUUAGAGAAAGGAGAGAGAAAAUGAAAUCGUGUAGCUCGAAUUUGUAUGCUGUUAUUUGAUAGUAUCUGCAGGUAUGAGUCUCGAAGCUGAUGAGCAUUCGAUGAUUAAAUUUUAGUUGCAUUGCAUCUUCAAACAGUCCCCUCAGUUCGUGCUUAUAUGAUUUAUUUACAGAAAUGAUAUUGUAGUGUUUGAAUGGAUUCAGGUUCUGAAGAGUUCUGGAGCUUAUUAAGAGUGCGCUUCUGGCAGCACUAGAAGCUCCGAUUCCAGGCUCCCUGUUUAGACAGUAUGAUGUACAAGGUCCAAUUCCAGUUAUAAAAGAUGUUUUUAUCCCUCCAGACACAGAAGAAGAUGGGCUGCCUGCUGCCCUUGAAGAUGCCAUGCCUCUAAUUUCUUUUUUGGCCCCUCUAUAUCGACACAUGCAAAGAUCGAAUUGCUGCUGCCCUUGAUAAAUUGCGAUUUACGACAUACAUCUUCGUGGGAGCGAGGUGCUGCUUCUGGGCAGGAACCUGAUACUGUUUUACUUGGUGGCCGAGGUUUUGGAGCAGCCAUGUCUGCUCUAACUGACGCCCUCCCCCGACGUCCUGCUUCUCUCCGCCGGCCGCCUCCUGCUCUGCUCCCGCCGUCGCCUCACCCGUGUGAAGCCGCUACACGCCGCUGGCGUCGCUGCCGCUGGAGCCGGGUCCACGUCCCGCCGCCGUCGAGGUCGCCCACAAGCCACAUCCGGCGGAGAGGAGGCGCCCCUCCUCUGCCCUUUUGCUGCCUGACCCAGGCGUGGUGGCCUCCUCCCGUCGCAGCUGCCGCCGCCGCCGCCGGUUCUCCUCCUCUCCCGCCUCGUCCCGGGUGACCUCCUCCCCACCCCACCCGUCGGCCGGCUUGCCCAAAGGAGAAAAGCGAGAAAGGGAGAGAGAGGGUUGAUGACGUGGCAUCCUGACAUGUGGGUCCCACGCUGAGUUAGCCGCCACGUUGGAUAAAACCGGGUUCAAAACCACUCAAGGACCUAAAGCGAACGGUUUUGUAAGUUGAGGUAUGUAAUAUAUCUGGUUUUAUGGUUGAGGGACGAUUGUGUAACUCGAUGACAAGUUGAGGGACCUUGGGUGUACUUUUUCCAACAUAUUUAUACCUAGACUAUAUACUUCACAUA